rnacentral:rRNA from 1 species
GUCUACAGCCAUACCUUAAUGAAGAUGCCCCAUCUCAUCUGACCUCAGAAGCUAAGUGGGGGUGGGGCCUGAUUAGUACCUGGAUUUGAGAUUACUUGGGAAUACCAUGUGCUGUAGCCC